rnacentral:rRNA from 1 species
UACGGGGGGGGCAAGCGUUGUUCGGAAUUACUGGGCGUAAAGGGCUCGUAGGUGGCCAACUAAGUCAGACGUGAAAUCCCUCGGCUUAACCGGGGAACUGCAUCUGAUACUGGAUGGCUUGAGUUUGGGAGAGGGAUGCGGAAUUCCAGGUGUAGCGGUGAAAUGCGUAGAUAUCUGGAGGAACACCGGUGGCGAAGGCGGCAUCCUGGACCAACACUGACGCUGAGGAGCGAAAGCCAGGGGAGCAAACGGGAUUAGAAACCCCCGUAGUCC